rnacentral:lncRNA from 9 species
GUUUUGUUCAAGAAGAAGCUCUAGUCAGGCCAAUGAUAUAUUGAGACUGCCAAAAUAAUAAUAAUAAUGUGAACUUAGUCUGCAUUGAUGGAAGCAAAGACAUAAGGGGGAGACGGGGCCGAUUCUCCUGUUUCUAGAUUUUUUCCAAUUUUUGAGUGGUUCUGGUCCUAAUGCCAUUUUUUUUUUUUAGCAGUUGUAAAUGGAUUCAAUGUAUUCAAAAAGAAACAACUAUGCUGAUGGUUGAAACCAUAUAAGAUUAAAAAUGGUCAAAAGGCAUGGCAGUGUUUACCACUGAAGAAAAAUAAAUAAAAAUUCAAGGAUAACAAGAUAGCUAUACUUCAAUAUUUGAGAAAAUGCCACAAACAAGGAUUAUUUUUGCUUAGUAUAAACUCAAGUAGUAAAACUGGCAACAGUGAGUAGAGGAAGCUAUACACAGAAAGAAUUCAACUCUUAACAAGUGAGAUUUUUCUAAUAGUUGGAGUUGUACUAAUAUAAAGGGAACUGCCUUUGGAAAGAAUAUAAUUUUUGUUUCUGGAUACCCAUUCAGCAGGGAUAUUGCAGAAGAUGCAAACAUUAGAUGGUCAGACCAGAUCUGUGAGGCACCUUCCAAACUUAUACUUUUAUUAUUCUCAACUUUGUUUUGCAGGGGGUGGGGAGAAGAACAGCCACCUGACAAGUGGUUCUACUGCUUGGUUCAAAGAAGCAACAGUCUGCUUGGGGACUUUGGAAAAAGCCCACCUGAGUUACAGGAUUUUGGCAGAAGUAGCAAGAACUGAGCCCUCACUUGAAAUAUGCUAAGAAAACUCAAAGUCCUGAGAAAAGAAAUCAAAGUGAAGAACAUAUUCAGACAAGUUUCCAGUGGACACCCAUCAAAGUUUCUCCUGGUCAAUUGUGACUGGCUAACGUUACGUUUCAGUGGCCUGUGUGCUACUACAUUAAAAGGUCAGCUUCACUCUAAUAGAAAAUGCUUUGGAAGUCUGAACUGAUCUGUGUUAUUCAGAAUAUAACAGACAUCUUCAAUCAAAUUCCAUCCAGAGAAUUUUCUGGGCACGAUUUAAAAUGUGGGGAAAAAAAAUUUAAACCAUUCACCUAUCUCUGGGAAUCAGAACUGAUUACCUCAUACAAUAUCUAAAGGUUCAUCAAAGCAAAGAUCUUCGAGAAGCAAUCACAGUGACAAAAUCAGUAUCCGAGUUCAUUUCUCUGAGUUUCUUAGCAGUGAAUUUUAUCAUGGAUCUUUUCGGCUCCAUCAUUUUUUUAUUCAAACAGACAGAUGUUUAUAGCCCAAAAAAAAAAAAAAAAAAAAAAAAA